rnacentral:rRNA from 1 species
CCUACGGGAGGCAGCAGUGGGGAAUAUUGGACAAUGGGCGAAAGCCUGAUCCAGCCAUGCCGCGUGUGUGAAGAAGGCCUUCGGGUUGUAAAGCACUUUCAGUGGGGAAGAAAGCCUUGGGGCUAAUACCCUCGAGGAAGGACAUCACCCACAGAAGAAGCACCGGCUAACUCCGUGCCAGCAGCCGCGGUAAUACGGAGGGUGCGAGCGUUAAUCGGAAUUACUGGGCGUAAAGCGCGCGUAGGCGGUCUGAUAAGCCGGUUGUGAAAGCCCCGGGCUCAACCUGGGAACGGCCUCCGGAACGGGCAGGCUAGAGUGCAGGAGAGGAAGGUAGAAUUCCCGGUGUAGCGGUGAAAUGCGUAGAGAUCGGGAGGAAUACCAGUGGCGAAGGCGGCCUUCUGGACUGACACUGACGCUGAGGUGCGAAAGCGUGGGUAGCAAACAGGACUAGAUACCCUGGUAGUC